UUUGCAGACUGUAAGCAGGAGAAAUCAGCAGUCUGUCCUCAGUGGUUGGAGCUGUAAGACUUAAAACCUGGAUGUUCUUGAAGACCAUGUUUCCUGCCAUGCCAAGAAAACCAGGCUGCAGACAGUGAAAAUUAACAGAAGAGGCAAAGAGAAACAGAAAGAAAGAGGUUUAAUUGGACUUACAGUUCCACAUGACUGGGAAGAAUUCUUUAAGAACUUGUCAGAAGUCCUAUAACAUGAUGUUAGCAGUAUGGAGACUCUGCCUGGGCACUGGGCAGCUUGAAUUUUAUUGUGGAAGAACAAAAAGGCAAGUUAAGAGCUGAGUUUGUGUAUCAGUUCAUUUUCACACUGCUACAAAGAACUUACUUCCCU
rnacentral:lncRNA from 1 species